GAUGAACGCUGGCGGCGUGCCUAAUACAUGCAAGUCGAGCGAACGGACGAGAAGCUUGCUUCUCUGAUGUUAGCGGCGGACGGGUGAGUAACACGUGGAUAACCUACCUAUAAGACUGGGAUAACUUCGGGAAACCGGAGCUAAUACCGGAUAAUAUUUUGAACCGCAUGGUUCAAAAGUGAAAGACGGUCUUGCUGUCACUUAUAGAUGGAUCCGCGCUGCAUUAGCUAGUUGGUAAGGUAACGGCUUACCAAGGCAACGAUGCAUAGCCGACCUGAGAGGGUGAUCGGCCACACUGGAACUGAGACACGGUCCAGACUCCUACGGGAGGCAGCAGUAGGGAAUCUUCCGCAAUGGGCGAAAGCCUGACGGAGCAACGCCGCGUGAGUGAUGAAGGUCUUCGGAUCGUAAAACUCUGUUAUUAGGGAAGAACAUAUGUGUAAGUAACUGUGCACAUCUUGACGGUACCUAAUCAGAAAGCCACGGCUAACUACGUGCCUGCGGCCGCGGUAAUACGUAGGUGGCAAGCGUUAUCCGGAAUUAUUGGGCGUAAAGCGCGCGUAGGCGGUUUUUUAAGUCUGAUGUGAAAGCCCACGGCUCAACCGUGGAGGGUCAUUGGAAACUGGAAAACUUGAGUGCAGAAGAGGAAAGUGGAAUUCCAUGUGUAGCGGUGAAAUGCGCAGAGAUAUGGAGGAACACCAGUGGCGAAGGCGACUUUCUGGUCUGUAACUGACGCUGAUGUGCGAAAGCGUGGGGAUCAAACAGGAUUAGAUACCCUGGUAGUCCACGCCGUAAACGAUGAGUGCUAAGUGUUAGGGGGUUUCCGCCCCUUAGUGCUGCAGCUAACGCAUUAAGCACUCCGCCUGGGGAGUACGACCGCAAGGUUGAAACUCAAAGGAAUUGACGGGGACCCGCACAAGCGGUGGAGCAUGUGGUUUAAUUCGAAGCAACGCGAAGAACCUUACCAAAUCUUGACAUCCUUUGACAACUCUAGAGAUAGAGCUUUCCCCUUCGGGGGACAAAGUGACAGGUGGUGCAUGGUUGUCGUCAGCUCGUGUCGUGAGAUGUUGGGUUAAGUCCCGCAACGAGCGCAACCCUUAAGCUUAGUUGCCAUCAUUAAGUUGGGCACUCUAAGUUGACUGCCGGUGACAAACCGGAGGAAGGUGGGGAUGACGUCAAAUCAUCAUGCCCCUUAUGAUUUGGGCUACACACGUGCUACAAUGGACAAUACAAAGGGCAGCGAAACCGCGAGGUCAAGCAAAUCCCAUAAAGUUGUUCUCAGUUCGGAUUGUAGUCUGCAACUCGACUACAUGAAGCUGGAAUCGCUAGUAAUCGUAGAUCAGCAUGCUACGGUGAAUACGUUCCCGGGUCU
rnacentral:rRNA from 1 species